rnacentral:misc_RNA from 1 species
GAAAAUUUGGUAUCCUUGCUGCAGUGUAGAGUUAUUGAGAUGGUGUUGUGUUCUACUCAUUAUUCAUGUCCUAUAUUUGAUUUGAAGGAUAGAAACAAGAUGUUAACACUCUUCUCGUUGUUCGUUGUUCUACUUUUAAGAAUGAAGCUCCUGUUUACGCCUUUAUCGUGUAGUCAUGAUUCAUAUUUCCUCUUCCAGUUUCCCCUCUCAUCGGAAGUAUCCAACUUCCUCUUAGCUACUUUGAGAAUGCAUAUUUAUUCGCGAUCUUUAAGAAGCUUAGUCAUCCUAUGCUAGUAUUUGGAGAAAAUGCAACUACUUCUCCGAGUAUAUGGUCUUCACAAGGACUAUUUUA